rnacentral:rRNA from 1 species
GAUGAACGCUGGCGGCGUGCCUAAUACAUGCAGGUCGAGCGAACGGACGAGAAGCUUGCUUCUCUGAUGUUAGCGGCGGACGGGUGAGUAACACGUGGAUAACCUACCUAUAAGACUGGGAUAACUUCGGGAAACCGGAGCUAAUACCGGAUAAUAUUUUGAACCGCAUGGUUCAAAAGUGAAAGACGGUCUUGCUGUCACUUAUAGAUGGAUACGCGCUGCAUUAGCUAGUUGGUAAGGUAACGGCUUACCAAGGCAACGAUGCAUAGCCGACCUGAGAGGGUGAUCGGCCACACUGGAACUGAGACACGGUCCAGACUCCUACGGGAGGCAGCAGUAGGGAAUCUUCCGCAAUGGGCGAAAGCCUGACGGAGCAACGCCGCGUGAGUGAUGAAGGUCUUCGGAUCGUAAAACUCUGUUAUUAGGGAAGAACAUAUGUGUAAGUAACUGUGCACAUCUUGACGGUACCUAAUCAGAAAGCCACGGCUAACUACGUG